rnacentral:tRNA from 1 species
AGAUAAAAUGUACUUGAUUUAGGAUCAAUUAAUAAGGCAUGCCUUACUUGUUA